CCAGCUGAACUUUUAAGCAAUUCACUGCCAUUUCCUUCAUGACUUCAUUCUUGGUCGCCAAGCAAACCUCUUCUGAACACCUCCUCAGACCUUCACCAAAGUCUAGACCAAGAUCAGACAAGAUUUUUCCAUGUGCAAGUCAGCUCCUGCCCAUUGCCUGGGUCCACUGUCUGGAUUGUCUCCUGUUCUGUCUACACUUCAACCAGAUGUGGAACAUGACUCCCUGAGUUCUUCUGAAGGGCUUCGUUACACCAGAGAUCUAAUGACAGAAGAUUUCACAGAAGAGAUUUCACCCACAAGGGCCUGUUCUCUUGUUCUCCAGGAUCCUGACCCUUCCCUGAUGCCCUAUGAGUUCUCAUCUCUUUGCCCUCCGCCCUGGCCCUGCUCUUGCCUUUAGGGUUCCUGGGACACAAUCCAGAAGUUGUUCACAUUACUUUGCUCACAUCCUAUGAGCAGAAGAACCCACAAUUUCCUAAGGCAGAGAAACGUUGUUUGUUUGUUUGUUUUUAAGAUUUUGUUUAUUUUAUUGGGGAGGGACAGAGGAAGAGGGAGAGAGAGAAUCAGACUCCCUGCUGAGUGCAGAGCCCAAUGCAGGGCUCACAAUGCUCAAUCCCAUGAUCCUGAGAUCAUGCUCUGAGCUGAAACCAAGAGUCAGAUGCUCAAAUGACUGAGCCACUGAGGUGCCCUUAGAGAAAUGUAGUUCUUAUUCUGGAUUGCUGGGAGCCCAGCUAUUUGCUGUCACUGUGCAGAAGGGGACGAUGGUGAUGGAAAUUCAGCUAGCAGUUUCUCCCAUGCUUUGCAUAUUCAUGGAUAUGCCUUAGAAGUGGGUGGCUGACUUCUGUGCUGUUGGAGGACUCAGUGGGUCAGGCCUGAAGGAAGUGACUUGAGAGUGUAUUGCAAUAGUCAUUUCCUGAUAGAGACUAGAAGACAGAAACCGGGGGCAUGUAGAGUGGAGGGCUGAAAAACCAGAGGCAAAGCUGUUCCUGCAUGUCCUGCAGUCGAGAACAUUUGGCUAAUCACCAACAGCAAGACUGAAGGAAGAUCCUUAGAAGAGGCUUGUAUGGCUGCCAUGAUGUCCCAACUCCUGGUUGUGCUCUAUACUGGGUUGUGUGCUGGCCGAGGAAACAGGAUGACUGAUGAGACCCUUCCCAAGCCCUCCCUCAGUGCCUGGCCCAGCUGGAUAAUGCCUCCCAAGAGCAAUGUGACACUGCAAUGCCACACUUCCACCAAUGAUGUCAACUUUGCUCUCAGAAAGGGAAAUGUUCCUGUGGAGUUCCCACAAUCACCAGAUUCCACAGAGGGCAUGGCUCGUUUUCUCCUCACUGACCUACAAGCCAGCAGCUCUGGACUGUACACCUGUGAAUACUACAGACGAGAUCCCCCGCAAAGAAGUUCACAGCCCAGUGACAUUCUCCUCCUGCUGGUGACAGGAGAGUUCUCUAAACCUUCCCUCCAAGCCCACCAAAGAGGUGUGGUGACCGCAAGAGAAAAUGUGACCCUGCAGUGUCAGAGGCCAAACAAUUCUUUCGAGUCUGUAAAGUUUGCUCUGCUGAAGGCAGGAGCAGCAGAACCCAUAAGGGUCCAGGGUCCAGCAAAGAAGAAGAUGAACUUCUCCCUCAGGAGUGUGACAGUCAGUGAUGCUGGGAACUACAGCUGCGUGUACUUCCUGAUGAGGGCUCCUUUCUGGGCCUCGGAGCCUAGCAACCAUCUUGAGAUCACAGUGAAAGAUAAAACUGAAAGAGAGUCUCCCAAGAUGGCAGAAACAGGAGUAGGGACCGUGGAGCUCACCCUCAUUGUGAUCUUCAUCCUUCUCUUCAUCCUCGGAGUCUUCCUCAUCUACAAAUACACCCAGUGUGGAGCAGCUCCUAACAAGAUGACCAAAUGCUCCCGCUCUUCUAAGGACCCUCAAGAACAGAGGACAAGUGUUCAGCCUGGGAAAGAAAGCGAUGAUUUGUCCAUGGCUAUCACAAGCUGUUCUCCUGCCUUGGAUAAAGCAUCCCAAGUGUCAAGAGCUGAGGAACCCCACACAGUGACUUAUGCUGAGCUGAACACCAGAGCCCUAAGAGAGGGUCUUUCCCGGCAGAUGGAGCAGCCCCUGGAAACCUGCGUGUAUUCGACCCUUAAGGCAUAGCCAGAAGGGCACCUGUAGCCCAGGAAAGAACUUCUAGCAUGGAGAUGGAUGAUAAAGAGAGGAAGGACCCUUGUGACACUAGGCAAAUGGGGAUCCCUUCCCCCAAAUCUUCAAUGAACACUUGUUUCCUUCUUCUAAAAAUUUGUUUUCAAAUAAGAGGAUUGUGCACUUGCUUGAUGAUGUGAGCUCCCCAGCUUGGAGAAGCCCACUUGGCAAGGAACCAAGAAUAGUCUCUAGCCAGUAAGGAACUGACUCCUGCCAACAAGCAUGUGGUAUGUGUUGUGUAAUAAAGAAUAUGGCUGGUCUUUUUCCUUGGCUUCUGGGAGGUAAUCUCUAAGUGCUCAGAAUCUCUCGAGUAACAGGAGUAUCUUUGCUAUUCACAGUGGGUGCUUUGUACCACAGCUGCAUUUAUGCCGGUCAGAUGACCCGGGAUGGAGGUGGUGAUGCUAGAACGACCCCAUAUGAUUAAAGGGUUACAACCUUGACCUCUGGGGAUCAGAGGAGGAGACAGUCAGUUAUGUGGGUAGUGAUUCAAUCAAAAUCACACCUAUGUGAGGAUAUCCUGAUGAAAACUCUGGACAGCACUUGGGGAGCUUUCUGGCUGGUGACACAUCCUGAGAAUAUAGGAAGCUUUGCUUUGGGGGUCCUCCCAGACGUCCCCCUGUGUGUCUCUUCAUCUAGGUGAUCUUGAUUUGUGUCCUUUGUAAUAAAAACUAUAAACAUAAA